UGGGGAAUAUUGGACAAUGGGCGAAAGCCUGAUCCAGCAAUGCCGCGUGAGUGAUGAAGGCCUUAGGGUUGUAAAGCUCUUUUACCAGGGAUGAUAAUGACAGUACCUGGAGAAUAAGCUCCGGCUAACUCCGUGCCAGCAGCCGCGGUAAUACGGAGGGAGCUAGCGUUGUUCGGAAUUACUGGGCGUAAAGCGUACGUAGGCGGUUAUUCAAGUCAGAGGUGAAAGCCUGGAGCUCAACUCCAGAACUGCCUUUGAAACUAGAUAACUAGAAUCACGGAGAGGUUAGUGGAAUUCCGAGUGUAGAGGUGAAAUUCGUAGAUAUUCGGAAGAACACCAGUGGCGAAGGCGACUAACUGGACGUGUAUUGACGCUGAGGUACGAAAGCGUGGGGAGCAAACA
rnacentral:rRNA from 1 species